CUACGGGUCGCAGCAGUGAGGAAUUUUGCGCAAUGGGCGAAAGCCUGACGCAGCAACGCCGCGUGAGUGAUGAAGGCCUUCGGGUCGUAAAGCUCUGUCAAGUGGGAAGAACCUAUGUAAUGUUAAUAUCAUUAUAUACUGACGGUACCACUGAAGGAAGCACCGGCUAACUCCGUGCCAGCAGCCGCGGUAAUACGGGGGGUGCAAGCGUUAUUCGGAAUCAUUGGGCGUAAAGGGCACGUAGGCGGCCUGGUAAGUCAGAUGUGAAAGCGCGGGGCUUAACCCCGGAAGUGCAUUUGAUACUGUGAGGCUUGAGUAUGGGAGAGGGAAGUGGAAUUCCUGGUGUAGAGGUGAAAUUCGUAGAUAUCAGGAGGAACACCGGUGGCGAAGGCGACUUCCUGGACCAAUACUGACGCUGAGGUGCGAAGGCGUGGGUAGCAAACAGGAUUAGAUACCCUAGUAGUC
rnacentral:rRNA from 1 species